CCAGAGUUGGGAGCCUGACAGCUCCAGUUCACGACGGACUCAAUCGCGGCGUUAUUGUUGUUACCACCAACUAGACACUCUUGAAGGGGCAACCAACUUGAACGCUGAUGUCAUAGCCACUUUAGCAGAGUAAGGAGAUCUGACCGUUCUCUCCUCCUACCGAGAAUCCUCAAGGUUCUUUCCCGGACCAGCAGCCGAAUUUGCCCUCAAAAUCGCUACCGUACGGUAGCAGCAAUCCCGUGCAUGGUUCAUGUUAAUUAUCGGCUACUCGAGGUUAACAAAACCUAUAGGGAACAGGUACUUAUCCUCGUUGCUAGAAGCUGAUCACUGGUUCCUACGGCUUGAAUGCGAGUUAUGACGAUCUGAAAACAGGACAGGAGCGUGCUGUUUAGAUGUAUAGACAACAGGUGGUCCAAUGAGCACAAAUGCUCAAUCGCCAAGUUUUACUAUCUGAUAUAUGCCUGAGAAACUUAUCUAUUGUCAAAUAGUUAUUCCCUUACCCUGGCACCUCCAUCCCCAUAAGUUUUAAAUCCUUUGCGAAAUGAAAUUGGCCC
rnacentral:sRNA from 1 species